CAGCCGCCGCGGUAAUACCAGCCCCGCGAGUGGUCGGGACGGUUAUUGGGCCUAAAGCGCCCGUAGCCGGCCCGGCAAGUCCCUCCUUAAAGCCUCGGGCCCAACCCGAGGACGGGGGGGAUACUGCCGGGCUAGGGGGCGGGAGAGGCCGGCGGUACUCCCGGGGGAGGGGCGAAAUCCGUUAAUCCCGGGAGGACCACCAGUGGCGAAGGCGGCCGGCUGGAACGCGCCCGACGGUGAGGGGCGAAAGCCGGGGGAGCGAACCGGAUUAGAUACCCGGGUAGUCCCGGCUGUAAACGAUGCGGGCUAGCUGUUGGGCGGGCUUAGAGCCCGCCCAGUGGCGCAGGGAAGCCGUUAAGUCCGCCGCCUGGGGAGUACGGCCGCAAGGCUGAAACUUAAAGGAAUUGGCGGG
rnacentral:rRNA from 1 species